AAAGACUCCAGACUGACGAGUAAUGAAGGUGCCGUUCCAAUGAGAGGGACACACCAGGAAAAGCAGAGGCUGAACAAGCCAACACAGGACAUCGCUGCGAAACUGACGACUGCAAAACAGACAAGUCCGGCUCUGCUUCCUCCUCGCCUUACCUUUACCCCGAUACCUUUUUCUCCCCAUUUCUGUCGUGUCACAUCAGCUAAGGAUCACGUGUGACGUUUUUAGCAGCUUGUCUUGUCAUUGCUAUUGAACCCAAAAUAGGGCAGCUCUAGGCUUAAACAAACAACACCUACUGUAGGUCAGUCCCUGUGCUCAAAGUCCUGCUGUCCCGCCUCAUUUCAGGAGAUUAAUUAAUAAAGAUAAACUGAUCCAAGAAACGUGAGAGCCAAGAAACAAGCACCAAAUAUGUCACAGUGCGACUAUUUUUAGGCGACAGAUUACACUGUCGUUUGAAGGUGAACUUGACGAAAACUCUGCUGUGAAACAAAAAGGAGGGAUAGGCCACAUCAGCCUAGGCACCGAGCACGGAAUAAUGGUAGAGUCACAGAUGCACCGCUUCUGUGUGACAAUGAUAAGGUAAUAGUUGGCAGUUUUCCUUUCCCGUCAAACAUCUGUACUCAAAGAACAAUAGCAGAAAACAAGAAUAGGGAAGAAAGAAAAUCAUUUCAUUAAUCCUAGUUCUGUAUUAUUUUCCCCUAUUUGCUGAAGCAGCUGCCACGGCAAGUCAAUUUUACAGAUGACUGCUGUCCAUCAGUGGCUAUACUGGAGAACAAUCAGGCUGGUAACAGCGGAAAAAAGAAGGGACUACAGAGACAUACAGUGGAGGAAAAAAGAUAUGUAAGGUAAGGGAGUAGAAGUGUCAACAGGGCAACAGCAUCCGUCAGUCUUGCACUCAGUUGCCUCUUUCCCUGUCACUAACUAAUAGCAGGGCUGUCCGUUACAAAUUGCCCCUGUGAUUCAGUCUCGAUGACACUAGACUGAGAAAUCUGAACGGGGUGAAGAGGCGUGAAGGGAAGAAGGCAGAGUCCACGGCGACUGCACUUUCCUCGGGUCAAAGGGCUGUCAGGGUGAUGUCGACAACAAAGUCAAUCUUCGAGUGGCGGUGGAACAACAUGUUUGUGCUAGUAUCUUCCCACAACACCUCUACUAGUAAAAGCAAGGACAGUCUGGGAGCAAAGGAAGUGCAAAGGCGUUUACUUGUGACACUUUCUGGUUUAUCCCUGGAUCAUUUCAUCUCGAGCCAACAGCCCUCUUAUUGUCUCUGUAAAGUGCAUUGUCUGUUAAAAAUAUUUUUAAUGCAUAGUAAAAUUUUGUGCCCCUUAAUGCAAACCAUUUAGCUAAAUUUAAUUUUUGGUUUUACAUUUUAUUGCAAGGCUGAAAAUAGGCUGUGUGGGAUAUUUUGGUUGCAAAUCAUGAAAAUCUUCAGUUAAACAAACAAUAAGUUUUGAUGCCUCAUGUUUUUAUUUUCAUAAAAUGCUAAAGCACUGAAAAAAAAACCAAAUGACAGUGCUUGGUUUACAAUUAUAUUAAAAAUGAAGUAAGUCCCA